GAAAACGAGUAUGUUUUCCUGGCACUAUAGUGCUCCUUUAAUCUCUUUCACCUUGUGGCCUCCCAUAAGAUUAUUUUAUUUACAUCAAGUGUAUUAUUUUUGUUUAAAUAAACGUUAAAGGACCACUAUAGUGCCAGGAAAACAAACUCGUUUUC